AUACGUAGGUGGCGAGCGUUGUCCGGAAUUACUGGGUGUAAAGGGCGCGCAGGCGGGGAUGUAAGUCAGAUGUGAAAUUCCGGGGCUUAACUCUGGAGCUGCGUCUGAAACUAUGUCUCUUGAGUGCUGGAGAGGAAAGCGGAAUUCCUAGUGUAGCGGUGAAAUGCGUAGAUAUUAGGAGGAACACCAGUGGCGAAGGCGGCUUUCUGGACAGUAACUGACGCUGAGGCGCGAAAGCGUGGGGAGCAAACAGGAUUAGAUACCCUGGUAGUCCACGCCGUAAACGAUGGAUACUAGGUGUAGGAGGUAUCGACGCCUUCGGUGCCGGAGUUAACACAAUAAGUAUCCCACCUGGGGAGUACGACCGCAAGGUUGAA
rnacentral:rRNA from 1 species